ACUCCUGUGAGAAUGCCCUACAGUUCCCUGCCCGGGAACAAGGAGCUGGUAUCAGGCACAUUAUAUUCAGCCCAUGACACCUUGCUUAGCCACACCCUCAAGGGAACUCAGCAGUGAUAGACCUUAAGCCAUGAGUGAAAACUCGACUUAGUCAAAGCUAAGAGGGCCGGUAAAACUCGUGCCAGCCACCGCGGUUAUACGAGAGACCCAAGUUGACAGACAUCGGCGUAAAGCGUGGUUAAGACAAAUUGAAGACUAAAGCCGAACCCCCUCAAAGCUGUUAUACGCAUCCGAGGGCAAGAAGCUCAAUCACGAAAGUGGCUUUACCUCCCUGAAUCCACGAAAGCUAUGACACAAACUGGGAUUAGAUACCCCACUAUGCCUAGCCCUAAACAUUGAUAGUACACUACACCCACUAUCCGCCCGGGUACUACGAGCACCAGCUUGAAACCCAAAGGACUUGGCGGUGCUUUAGAUCCACCUAGAGGAGCCUGUUCUAGAACCGAUAACCCCCGUUCAACCUCACCCUUCCUUGUUCUCCCC
rnacentral:rRNA from 1 species